GCCGGGCAUGGUGGUGCAUGACUGUAUAGUCCCAGCUACUCGGGAGGCUGAGGUGGGAGGGUCUCUUGAGCCCAGGAGUUCUGGGCUGUAGUGCGCUAUGCUGAUUGGGUGUCCGCACUAAGUUUGUCAUCAAUAUGGUGACCUCCUGGGAGCGGGGGACCAUCACAUUUCCUAAGGAGGGGUGAACCGGCCCAGGUCGGAAACGAAGCAGGUCAGAACUUCCGUGCUGAUUAGUAGUGGGCUUGUGCCUGUGAAUAGCCACCGCACUCCAGCCUGGGCAACAAAGUGAGACCCCCGUCUCU
ensembl:misc_RNA Metazoa_SRP Metazoan signal recognition particle RNA